rnacentral:rRNA from 1 species
GACAGAGGGGGCAAGCGUUUGUCCGGAUUUAUUGGGCGUAAAGAGCUCGUAGGCGGCUUGUCGCGUCGUCCGUGAAAACCCACAGCCUCAACUGUGGGCUUGCGGUCGAUACGGGGCAGGCUAGAGUUCGGUAGGGGAGACUGGAAUUCCUGGUGUAGCGGUGAAAUGCGCAGAUAUCAGGAGGAACACCGGUGGCGAAGGCGGGUCUCUGGGCCGAUACUGACGCUGAGGAGCGAAAAGCGUGGGGGAGCGAACAGG